CCUACGGGUGGCAGCAGUGAGGAAUAUUGGUCAAUGGCCGUAAGGCUGAACCAGCCAAGUCGCGUGAAGGAAGAAGGAUCUAUGGUUUGUAAACUUCUUUUAUAGGGGAAUAAAGGGAGCCACGUGUGGAUAUUUGCAUGUACCCUAUGAAUAAGAAUAGGCUAACUCCGUGCCAGCAGCCGCGGUAAUACGGAGGAUGCGAGCGUUAUCCGGAUUGAUUGGGUUGACAGGGUGCGUAGGUUGUUUUUUAAGUCAGCGGUGAAAGUUUGUGGCUCACCCAUAAAAUUGCCGUUGAAACUGGCAGCCUUGAGUGUGUUUGAGGUAGGCGGCAUGCGUGGUGUAGCGGU
rnacentral:rRNA from 1 species